CAUACAUGUUAUCAUUAUGUGGUAUGCUUUGAUGUUACACCUGCUACAAUUAAAAUAGUAUAUAAUGAGCACUAAGACAAUAAAGAUUUGCUGCAUGCUGGACAUGACAGUCCCCCAAGUCUGAUUUCCCUCACCGUCGCGUUUCAGGUUCGGACUCACUAGAAGUCCACACAGAAGGAGACCUGGAGGAGGCAGACGGAGCAGAGAGACAUGUGAAGAAGCUGUGCUUGCUUCUUGGCCUUGGACCUGUACCCGGAACUUGGGGGACAUGGAAGGAGACACUUGAAACAGAUGCGGGAAUGCUUGCAAUGUGGAACAUGGAGAGGACCCAGAUUUUUUAAAAUAUAACAGAAGCUAGACAUCAGCGCCCCUUGUCACAUCUGCCUACAUGAAACCCAUCAGAAGUGUGCUCCAGUGAUGCAUGUAGGUCUCAGCGUUAGGAGACCGGCAGGCAGAGGGCUGACAAAGGAGGCCAGGUCCAGGAAGAGGAGAUGAUGAUGCAGGAGACCACGUGUUAUGUUCUUCCAGCCAUAUGAAUGUCUAGAAUCGUGGAUGAGUCUUGCUUAGCUCCCUGAGGACUGGGACCACUCCUGUCUACCUUUGAGUCCUCACCGUGACCAUGCCCACAAGCUGACAUUCCAGCUCAAGUCCGAAAAGGCGUCCACAUAGUGAAGGGGAUUUUGCCUGCUUAAAAAAAAAAAAUUAGAAAUGAGUGUCACUGUGUGGCUGUGAGUGGAAUCCUCCAGGCAACUGAAACAGCUGAACCAAGAAGAGGAGAACCUGCUGCUCUGUCCGUAGGCUACAGAGACCCCUAAGGGAGGUGAGGAAGCUGCCUCCAUGGGCAGGACUGGACAACCCAGCAAAUGAAAAAGGUUUGGUACCCUCAAAAGAGGAAGCUCAGGUGGAGUCUGAGGAGACCAACUUUGUUCCUGAAGCCUACAUGGACCGGAUGUCAAGAGUUCGCUCUGAUCCUAUAUGGAGUAUUCCAAUAAAGCAGCUAAAAUUGCUGUUUAGUUAUUCUGCCUGUGAUUUUAUGCAAAAAUAGGUAAUAUGGUUUAAAAAGUAGAUUUAGUUUGCAAACUUUGCUAUGCUGUUGAAACAAUUUGGGAUUAAGGUGAGAGAACUUGUUUUUUUUACAUAAGUUCAACCAAUUUUAAGAUUUUUUUUUCCUAUGAUUCUGAUAUAUUUGCUGUCUUGUUUUAGCUAAUGCCUACAGAUGUGGGUUUUUUUUUUUUGGGCUUGGAUAAUGGACUAUUUUCCAGUAAUAGAAAAGUGUCAUACUGGAUAUUCAUGGACAAUGCUGCUCAUUGUUGCUUCUCUUACAUACAUUGUAACCCUGAAAAAAGACUGUCUCCUAAGACUACACCGUAGAUAUGGUGGAAUAAAAAUUAAAAGGGGGGAUUUAACAGGGUGGUCCCCAGGAAAGGGGGAGGUUCUAGGUUUCCUGCCCCACCCAAAAGGAGGGUGAUGCUGAGCAGGGAGAGAAGCUGCAGAGGAGACUGAGGAAGGAAGCAAGCAUAAUGGAGAGCCAGGAGACCUGGAGGAGGCACAUGGAGCAGAGAGACAAACUGCGCUUGCCUUUUGGUGGUGGACUGGUUGAAACAGAUGUGGGUGAGACUCAUGGGGAGGUGACAAUGGUGGUUUUUGUCUUGAUUUUGAUUUUGCUCUUUUCCUCCCAGACUUUUCAGGUUGUUUCUGAUCCUUUUCUGUGGGUCCCCAUUGGAAGCUGCUUUAGACUUGUGGCAGGCUUUGGGACCUUGCUCUGGGCCAAUCCCAUUUGGGUGGACUUUUACCCAUGAGGGGAUGGGUAACUUUGCGUGCUUGAUUUAGAAACUAUAUUCUUUGCCUUUCCUGUAUUAUUUACUAAUUGUAUUAAAGUUCCUUUUCAUUAAAAAAUUUAU